CUCGCAACGCUAUAAAGCCGAUAAUGAAUGCCUUGGGCGUUCGUGCCGAGGAAGGACGUAUAUGACCACGAUAGUCGUCGGGGAGGAGCCAUAAUCCCGCGAUCCGACGGUUUCCGAAUGGAGCAAUCCAUCCCGCAAGGGAAAGUAUGUUGUAAAGUCAGCCGCAAGGUUGAAAUAGCAAUAUUACUGGGCACCACCUGAACUGAAACAUCUCAGUAGGGUGAGGAAAAAAAAUACAAUUGAGAUUCCGUCAGUAGCGGCGAGCGAAAGCGGAGCAGCCUAAACCCGCAAGGGUGUUGUAGGGUCCCGCAUAAGGGAUGGGAUGAGAAUAGAAGAAUACCUUGGAAUAGGUAGCCAAAGAGAGUGAAAGCCUCGUAUUCGAAAUUCAAGUCCCCUCUGCGGGAUACCUAAGUACCAUGGGACAUCAAGGUCCUGUGGGAAUCUGGGGGAACCAUCCUCCAAGGCUAAAUACACGAAUGCACCGAUAGUGAACUAGUACCGUGAGGGAAAGGUGAAAAGCACCCCGGAAGGGGAAUGAAAAGUACCUGAAAUUGUCGGCUAACAAACAGCGAGAGUGGUGAAAAUCGUAAGAUUUUUGUCAUAAUCGCGUGCCUAUUGAAGAAUGAACCGGUGAGUUGCCCGGACGUGCAAGCUUAAUCCGUUAGCUAACGGAGCAGGCGUAGUGAAAGCGAGCUUUUAUAGAAGCGAUUAGUACGUUCGGACAGACCCGAAACCAGGUGAGCUACCCAUGAGCAGGGUGAACCCCGAUGAAGAUCGGGAGGAGGCCCGAACUCGUCAGAGUUACAAAUCUGUGAGAUGACUUGUGGGUAGGGGUAAUAUGCCUAUCGAACCUGGAGAUAGCUGGUUCUCCCCGAAAUAUAUUUAGGUAUAGCGCCCGUUAAAUUGUUUACUGUGGUAGAGCACUGAAUGCGGCAUCAAGCGUAAGCGAGAUGUCACAAUCAAACUCCGAAUACAGAUGAACAUACUCGGGCAGUCAGACAUGCGGGGCUAAGCUCGUGUGUCGAAAGGAAAACAGUCCUGACUCUUAUCUAAGGCCUCUAACUCUCUGCUCAGUGGUUAAGGAAGUCAUGGUUUUUAGACACCCAGGAAGUUGGCUUAGAAGCAGCCAUCUUUUAAAGAAAGCGUAACAGCUCACUGGAUGAAAGCCGUGGCGCCGAAAAUGAUCGAGGCUCAAGCAGAGGGCCGAAGGUAGAGAUGUGCCGUAAGGCACGUGGUAGGGGAGCGUUCAUAUUGCGGUGAAGGUCAGGCCGUAAGGCUAACUGGAGCGAUAUGAAGUGAGAAUGCCGGUAUGAGUAGCGUUUGAAGGUGAGAAUCCUUCAUGCCGAAUGCGCAAGGUUUCCGAAGCAACGUUCGUCGACUUCGGGUAAGUCGGAUCUAAGGGGGACGCGUAUGCUAUACCCCGAUGUAUAAACGGUUUAUAUUCCGUUACCGUAAGUGUAUUGAUUAAGACUCAAAGGGAUGACAGGGGAGGAUGUGUCUGUGGGUCGUGAGGCCUCUAAGCUUUGACGUAGUGAUAACUGGUAAAUCCGUUAUUACGUUUAACUAAAAAGCGAAUGAGAGUCCAAGUCGCAAGAUGCGGGCAAUACAGAUAGUUCUGCUUUCAGGAAAAAUCUCGUUGAGGAAUACAUUUAUGUCCGUACCGCAAACCGACACAGGUGCGCUGGUAGAGUAUACCAAGGCAAGCGGGCGACAGUAGUUCAAGGAACUCGGCAACAUAAACUGGGCGUAACCUUUGGGAGAUGCCCUACCCCGCCUUUGGCGGGGUCACAGUAAACGACACUAAGCAACUGUUUAACUAAAACACAGGUCUCUGCGAAGCGGAAACGCAACGUAUAGGGGCUGACACCUGCCCAGUGCCGGUAAGUUAAUCGUGGUUGGUCACUCUUCGAAAGAUGAGAAAGCUAACUACGCAAGCUCCGGUGAACGGCAGCAGUAACUAUAAAAUACAGUUUUGUAGUUGUAAAAUUUGGCUAUAUGCUGGAAGAUCCGUCCUGAAAAAGGAUAGAAUGUUGCGCUACCACUCAAAAAGUGGUAAAAAUGCGCCAACUGCGGAAAAUCAGCAGGAAAGACUACUAUGAACAUUAGACUUGAGGACGAACCAUUAAAUUUAGGAGAUCCGGAUUCAUGGCCGAAAAGCCAAUUUGGAUUUAAAGAUGUUGUAAACGCAAUAAAACAACGUUUAUUUCCUAAAAAAACAUGGGAAACUCCAAUUGAAGAAAAAGUAGAAGCGGAGCCUCAAGUAGAUUUAACAUAAAUUCAUAGUUUUAUCCUCAGAGACUAUACGCCAAAUCCGCCAACCGGCGGAAUGAUAUAGUCCGACCUCAUGGGCGACCAUGAGAGCCGUAACCAAUCGGUGUAUAACAAAGUGAACUGUUCUAUGGUAGCGAAAUUCCUCGCGACAGGGGACCUUCCACUGUAAAGUGGAUUGAAUAUUUGGCUAUAUGCUGGAAUAACUUAAGUAUCCGACAGUACGAUAACGUAAUAAUCUGUUCGGUGGAGUCAAUCAGCAGGGAAGUCCGUCGGCUGACGGACCCCUCAACGACUAGACGCCAAACUCCCAAUAGUAUUGGGAUGAUGAUAUAGUCUGAACUCCGUAGCGAUACGGAGAGCCUUGACUGGAACUAGAAAGGCACUCUGAUCACAAUCAGGGGUAACACAUUGUGUCGGGCAAGUUCCGACCCGCACGAAAGGUAGAAUGACUUAGUGACUGUCUUGAACUGCUACCCGGCGAAAUUGAAAUGGCUGUGAAGAUGCGGCCUACUCACACUUGGACAAAAAGACCCCGUGGAGCUUUACUGUAACUUGGCACUGAGGACCUUAUUUUGACUGUCGAGCAUAGGUGGGAGUCUUCGGACGAAACAUGGAAUACCACUCUUCGAAAUGGGGAAAUCUUACUUACUCCGACAUAAAAAUAUCGGAGGAGAACACUGUCUGGUGGGCAGUUUAACUGGGGAGGUUGCCUCCAAAAAUGUAACGGAGGCGUACAAAGGUUGGCUAACCUCGGAUGGAAAUCGAGGCGUGUCGUGCAAACGCGAUAAGCCAGCUUGACUGUGAGACUUACAAGUCGAACAGACACGAAAGUGGGUGUUAGUGAUCCUCGGAUCCCUCAUGGGAGGGACCGGGCUUAACGGAUAAAAGCUACCCCGGGGAUAACAGGCUGAUCGCUUCCGAGAGUCCAUAUCGACGAGGCGGUUUGGCACCUCGAUAAUCCCGGUAUUUACCGGGAAUGUCGCCUAAGAGAGUAAUCUCUUAUUGAAUAAUUCAGCUCAUAUCGGUGAAACCCGACUUGACCAUUGAACCCGGUCAAAGGGCAAUACCGAGGGAAGUCUUCGUGACCCCGUAACGACUGAUUCCGUCAUCUGACGGAUGAGAUAUCAAUUGAUAUCAUAUUGCUGAGCCCCCGAUUUAAUCGGGGUGAUGGUAUAGUCUAUGCCACUGGUAACAGUGGGUAAACAUGGUCGGCUCAUCCUAUCCUGGGGCUGGAGAAGGUCCCAAGGGUCCGGCUGUUCGCCGGUUAAAAGGGUACGCGAGCUGGGUUCAGAACGUCGUAAGACAGUAGACCUAUAGUAGUUGACAUUACUAUAUAAAGAGCUGUCUAUAAAUCUGACUAUAUGCUGGAAACUCUGAGUAUCCUAAAGUACUUUUUAAGUAAUAAUCUUUAGGUGCAGAUAAUCAGCAGGGAAGAUCCGUCAAAUGACGGAAACCCUCAGAGACUAUAUGUCAGACCCCGCUCUUUUUACGGAAAAAGAGGGGGAAGAUAUAGUCCGAACUGCAUGGCGACAUGCAGACUAUACCCAUAAAGGGUAUCCAAAUUUCUAAGCUGUUCCAAUAAGAAUUGGAGCCAGCAAGAACUUUGUAACAAAUUGUCGGUCUCUAUCCAGUGCGAGCGUUUUGAUUCUUGAGGGGAGCUCUCCUCAGUACGAGAGGACCAGGAGGGACGGAUCCCUGGUGUGCCUGUUGUUAGCCCUUGGGCUAGCAUCGCAGGGUAGCUAUAUCCGGUCGGGAUAAGCGCUGAAAGCAUCUCAAGCGCCAAGCCCACCCCAAGAUGAGGAAUCUUUUAGACCACCAGUAGAUUACUGGUUUGAUAGGCGAGGAGUGUACGUACCGUAAGGUAUUUAGCUUACUCGUACUAAUCGGUCAAAGUUGCGGAGA
rnacentral:rRNA from 1 species